rnacentral:rRNA from 1 species
CAUGCAAGUCGAACGGAAAGGCCCUUCGGGGUACUCGAGUGGCGAACGGGUGAGUAACACGUGGGUGAUCUGCCCUGCACUCUGGGAUAAGCCUGGGAAACUGGGUCUAAUACCGGAUAGGACCACGCGCUUCAUGGUGUGUGGUGGAAAGCUUUUGCGGUGUGGGAUGGGCCCGCGGCCUAUCAGCUUGUUGGUGGGGUAAUGGCCUACCAAGGCGACGACGGGUAGCCGGCCUGAGAGGGUGACCGGCCACACUGGGACUGAGAUACGGCCCAGACUCCUACGGGAGGCAGCAGUGGGGAAUAUUGCACAAUGGGCGCAAGCCUGAUGCAGCGACGCCGCGUGAGGGAUGACGGCCUUCGGGUUGUAAACCUCUUUCGCCAGGGACGAAGAGAGAUUGACGGUACCUGGAGAAGAAGGACCGGCCAACUACGUGCCAGCAGCCGCGGUAAUACGUAGGGUCCGAGCGUUGUCCGGAAUUACUGGGCGUAAAGAGCUCGUAGGUGGUUUGUCGCGUUAUUCGUGAAAACUCACA